rnacentral:tRNA from 1 species
GCGGAAGUGGUGAAACUGGUAGACACGCUAUCUUGAGGGGGUAGUGGGUUCGCCCGUGGGGGUUCAAAUCCCCCCUUCCGCA